GUGUUGUAUGAAAGGAGAGGUUAGCAUUCUCCUUGACAAAAAUGGAAGAGGCCCUCAGGCCUGUACAAUAUACAUAGAAUCAGGGCUUUGCCCCCUACUUUGUAACAUUUAACCUUGUUUUUUU